rnacentral:rRNA from 1 species
UACGAAGGGGGCUAGCGUUGCUCGGAAUUACUGGGCGUAAAGGGCGCGUAGGCGGCCCGCUAAGUCGAACGUGAAAUCCCCAGGCUCAACCUGGGAACUGCGUCCGAUACUGGCAGGCUUGAAUCCGGGAGAGGGAUGUGGAAUCCCAGGUGUAGCGGUGAAAUGCGUAGAUAUCUGGAGGAACACCGGUGGCGAAGGCGGCAUCCUGGACCGGCAUUGACGCUGAGGCGCGAAAGCUAGGGGAGCAAACGGG